rnacentral:rRNA from 1 species
UUGAAACACUGGUUCCUGUACAAUCACUUAAGUUAAGCAACAUUGAGCCUGGUCAGUACCUAGAUGGGUGACCACUUGGAAAUAUCAGCUGCUGUAA